rnacentral:rRNA from 1 species
UUAGAAGUGUGGACGCCAGUCUGCAUGGAGCCGACCUUGAAAUACCACCCUUUAAUGUUUGAUGUUCUAACGUUGACCCGUAAUCCGGGUUGCGGACAGUGUCUGGUGGGUAGUUUGACUGGGGCGGUCUCCUCCUAAAGAGUAACGGAGGAGCACGAAGGUUGGCUAAUCCUGGUCGGACAUCAGGAGGUUAGUGCAAUGGCAUAAGCCAGCUUGACUGCGAGCGUGACGGCGCGAGCAGGUGCGAAAGCAGGUCAUAGUGAUCCGGUGGUUCUGAAUGGAAGGGCCAUCGCUCAACGGAUAAAAGGUACUCCGGGGAUAACAGGCUGAUACCGCCCAAGAGUUCAUAUCGACGGCGGUGUUUGGCACCUCGAUGUCGGCUCAUCACAUCCUGGGGCUGAAGUAGGUCCCAAGGGUAUGGCUGUUCGCCAUUUAAAGUGGUACGCGAGCUGGGUUUAGAACGUCGUGAGACAGUUCGGUCCCUAUCUGCCGUGGGCGCUGGAGAACUGAGGGGGGCUGCUCCUAGUACGAGAGGACCGGAGUGGACGCAUCACUGGUGUUCGGGUUGUCAUGCCAAUGGCACUGCCCGGUAGCUAAAUGCGGAAGAGAUAAGUGCUGAAAGCAUCUAAGCACGAAACUUGCC